rnacentral:rRNA from 1 species
AUUGAACGCUGGCGGCAGGCCUAACACAUGCAAGUCGAACGGUAACAGGAAGAAGCUUGCUUCUUUGCUGACGAGUGGCGGACGGGUGAGUAAUGUCUGGGAAACUGCCUGAUGGAGGGGGAUAACUACUGGAAACGGUAGCUAAUACCGCAUAACGUCGCAAGACCAAAGAGGGGGACCUUCGGGCCUCUUGCCAUCGGAUGUGCCCAGAUGGGAUUAGCUAGUAGGUGGGGUAACGGCUCACCUAGGCGACGAUCCCUAGCUGGUCUGAGAGGAUGACCAGCCACACUGGAACUGAGACACGGUCCCGACUCCUACGGGAGGCAGCAGUGGGGAAUAUUGCACAAUGGGCGCAAGCCUGAUGCAGCCAUGCCGCGUGUAUGAAGAAGGCCUUCGGGUUGUAAAGUACUUUCGGCGGGGAGGAAGGGAGUAAAGUUAAUACCUUUACUCAUUGACGUUACCCGCAGAAGAAGCACCGGCUAACUCCGUG